rnacentral:rRNA from 1 species
ACUUGGGACCGUACUGGCUUGUCUAUGCCCAGUCUCGUCUCAUCUUGGAAGCUAAGUGAGGCUGGGCCUGGUUAGUGUUUGGAUGAGAAACCCCAGGGAAAACCAGAUGCCACAGUG